UUUCGUAGUUGUGACAAAUUUUUUAAACCUGAAUAACUAUCAACUUUAACGAUUAAUUAGUUCAAUAUCUCGAUUCAGAUAUAGCGACGCUUUUUGUCAAAUUCGUCCGUUUCAUACAAAAACGCGUCAUUGAGCGUAAUUUCAUAAAAAUCGAAGGUAGUGUGUUUGCGAAAACAAGGAGAAAAGUUGCAGUUUGGUAGAGGACAAAAAUAGACAUCUGAUUGAAAAAAACAAUGCGGAACCAGUGUGGAAUAAAAAACUGUAACAAUAAUCGUUUAAAAGGAUUUCACUUGUUUAGAUUUCCUCUUCAUCGAAAAGAUCACUUAAAAAAGUGGCUCGAAGCUAUUGGGGAAGCAGAUUUUCAACCCACUAAAUCUGACGUGAUUUGUAGCGCACAUUUUACUACUAAUGAUUAUAUGGUUAGGCCGUUUGCACAUGAUGUUCGUUUGAAACAUCUUGCUGUACCUUCCAUAUUUCAAGAUCCUCCAGAAACUACUCCUAUAAUUACAAAUAUAUUUGAUUUGAAUGGAUCUGCUCCUGAAGAGAUUAUGAAUUUGCCUACAUUGGUCGUACAGUCUCGUACUAAGAAAUCCGAGAGUUCGGAAGAAGAUGAGGUAUAUUGUUUUCAACCUUCAGAAAAAACAGCCAGUACAAGUACUGUUGAUGAUACAAUUAAGAUAACAUUGGUAAACAAACGGAAAAUAAUGAAUAAAUCUAAGCACUAUUUAAAAAAUCAGAAAAUUGGUCCAAAAAAGAAGCGAAUGCAAUCAAUUAUUACUAUACUAAAGCAAGAUUUGAAAAGGAAUAAAAAAACAAUACGAUUGCAGCAGAAUUUACUGACAGCAUUGGAAAAUUUGGACGAAAACACAAGCAAUGUUUUUGAAGAAAAUAAACGAAUGGAAUUAUCACCAAUUCAAGCAGUUCAACUUCAUGUUAAAAAUUAUGUGGACACAGUGAAAGAAUAUUCAGAUGUGGAGUUUAAAAGACAUUUUCGGAUAUCGCGUGUAGUAUUUACAUACUUAUUAAAUUUAAUAAGACCCAACUUAGAAAGGCCAGCUGGAUCAGGACGGUGUCCAAUUUCUCCUAACUUACAAUUAUUAGUGACAUUAUGGACCAUGGCAACACCUGAUUCAUAUAGAUCUGUUUGUGAUCGAUUUAAUAUUGGACGAGCAACUGCUUGGCGUGCUCAUAGAAAAGUCUGUGCAGCGAUAUAUUCUUUAGCAGAUAAAUUUAUCAAAUGGCCCAGUGUAGAAGAAGCACAACAAACAUGGAUGGAUGUUCAAUACAAACAUAAGUUUCCAAAAGUACUUGGUGCCAUAAAUGGUACACACAUACGUAUACAGAAACCAAAGGAACAUGCAGAAAAUUACUUAAAUCGAAACGGUCAUUAUUCAAUACAUUUGCAAGCUGUAUGUGAUUCCACCUUAAAAUUUAUCCACUGCUAUGCAGAACAACCGGGAUCUAUGCACGAUAUGUGUGUAUUCUGGCUAAGUGACAUCCCAUCCAUGUACACAGAAAAAUUUUUUCCACAUGAUAGUCAUCUGAUAGGUGAUGCUGGAUAUGCUCUGCAAAAACAUGUAAUGGUACCUUACGAUAACAAUGAUUUGUCAGGAGCACAAAUUAAUUUUAAUGAACGUUUAUGUUCGGCCCAUGUAAUGAUUGAAGAAGCCAUCGGUUAUCUAAAGGGACGUUUUCGUAGUCUCGUAGAUAAGUUGUAUAUGAAACGGACGGAUCUCAUAUCCGAAUAUAUUAUUGCGUGUUGUGUGCUGCACAAUAUUUGCAUUUUACAUGAAGAUUUUUUAGAUGAUAUUGUAAUUGUUGAAAAAGACAAUAAUCGUAUGACAAAAUGUGACAUUGAAACCAUUACUCCAGAUAAAGAAGAAGGCAUUGAAAAAAGAAAUGCGCUAACAAAUAUGUUGAACGAGAGCGCUCCGUUCAAUUUUUUUGAUUAUAUUGCAAUUGAACACAGCUACUCUCGACGACCAGUGUCUUUUUCACUGUGAUAAAAGCUGUGAGUGGCUUAUCAAUCGCAAUGUUAAACACGUCAUGUGGUCAAACGACUCCUACUCAACUCAAAUCUGUGUAUCUAGUUUUUUUGUAUCCUUAGGGAAAAGCAACACUGCUUUUCUAUGCAUACAUUUCAUAAUACAAAGCGAAAUUCCAUAUAGGGGAAGCACCUUCGUCCUCGUAUAACUUUGAUCUUGUCAAGAAUACUCUCCUGAGUGAUCUCCAGAAA